rnacentral:rRNA from 1 species
CAGGGAGGACCAUCUCCUAAGGCUAAAUACUCUCUAGUGACCGAUAGUGAACCAGUACCGUGAGGGAAAGGUGAAAAGCACCCCGGAAGGGGAGUGAAAUAGAACCUGAAACCGUGUGCUUACAAGUAGUCAGAGCCCGUUAAUGGGUGAUGGCGUGCCUUUUGUAGAAUGAACCGGCGAGUUACGAUUUGAUGCAAGGUUAAGCAGUAAAUGUGGAGCCGUAGCGAAAGCGAGUCUGAAUAGGGCGUUUAGUAUUUGGUCGUAGACCCGAAACCAGGUGAUCUACCCUUGGUCAGGUUGAAGUUCAGGUAACACUGAAUGGAGGACCGAACCGACUUACGUUGAAAAGUGAGCGGAUGAACUGAGGGUAGCGGAGAAAUUCCAAUCGAACCUGGAGAUAGCUGGUUCUCUCCGAAAUAGCUUUAGGGCUAGCCUCAAGUGAUGAUUAUUGGAGGUAGAGCACUGUUUGGACGAGGGGCCCUCUCGGGUUACCGAAUUCAGACAAACUCCGAAUGCCAAUUAAUUUAACUUGGGAGUCAGAACAUGGGUGAUAAGGUCCGUGUUCGAAAGGGAAACAGCCCAGACCACCAGCUAAGGUCCCAAAAUAUAUGUUAAGUGGAAAAGGAUGUGGCGUUGCCCAGACAACUAGGAUGUUGGCUUAGAAGCAGCCAUCAUUUAAAGAGUGCGUAAUAGCUCACUAGUCGAGUGACACUGCGCCGAAAAUGUACCGGGGCUAAACAUAUUACCGAAGCUGUGGAUUGUCCUUUGGACAAUGGUAGGAGAGCGUUCUAAGGGCGUUGAAGCAUGAUCGUAAGGACAUGUGGAGCGCUUAGAAGUGAGAAUGCCGGUGUGAGUAGCGAAAGACGGGUGAGAAUCCCGUCCACCGAUUGACUAAGGUUUCCAGAGGAAGGCUCGUCCGCUCUGGGUUAGUCGGGUCCUAAGCUGAGGCCGACAGGCGUAGGCGAUGGAUAACAGGUUGAUAUUCCUGUACCACCUAUA